rnacentral:rRNA from 1 species
GACGUAGGGCGCGAGCGUUGUCCGGAUUUAUUGGGCGUAAAGAGCUCGUAGGCGGCUUGUCGCGUCGACUGUGAAAACCCGUGGCUCAACCAUGUGGUCUGCAGUCGAUACGGGCAGGCUAGAAUUCGGUAGGGGAGACUGGAAUUCCUGGUGUAGCGGUGAAAUGCGCAGAUAUCAGGAGGAACACCGGUGGCGAAGGCGGAUCUCUGGGCCUGUUCUGACGCUGAGGCGCGAAAGCUAGGGGAGCGAACAGG